UGUGUUUUUUAUUAAAAUUUUAAACAUUUUAAAUUUGCAUAGAACGUGUGCGUUGUUGUGAAUUUUAAUUUUUCCCUGGCUCCCUAAUUGCUACAGAAGAUUUCGUGAACUCGAUGGACUCGCAGUGCGCAUAAUGUUUAUCCAAAAUCAAUCUCUAAAUCGGAUAUAAAUGAGGGAUUUAAAUUGGAUUUAAACUUCCCCAGUUAUCAAUCGUAUUAAUGUUGUGAACUUUGAUUUAGACUGUGACAAAAAUCUGGUCUCCUGUGCAAAUUCAGAUCCAAUUUGGGCUAGCUACUUUCCGAAUAAGGUAUUUUUGGUGCAGUCACAAUUUCGGCGAGCUCCCCAAAGCGAAAGUAUAUCACUGACGGUUCUGAGUCUAUUACCUAAACAUUAAAGUAAAUUCUUUUGAGGAUUCGAGGAUGUUUGUAUCUCUAGAAACAGGAUAUUUCUUAAAAUGUGAUGUUAACAUAGAAGCUUGUUAGAUUUAACAAAUAUUGAAACGGUUAACAAUUCCAUUAGGGCAUCUAUAUUGAGCAAAUAUUCGGUUUAAAAAUUUCCAAUUGUGAUUGUUUCUAACUGUAUUGGCAUUUACACACAACUAGAGCCCAAAUAAAAUUGUAUUCCCAUUGCA